rnacentral:SRP_RNA from 1 species
GCCGGGUGUGGUGGCGGGUGCCUGUAGUCCCAGCUACUCGGGAGGCUGAGGCAGGAGGAUGGCGUGAACCCGGGAGGCGGAGCUUGCAGUGAGCCGAGAUCAAACCACUGCACUCCAGCCUGGGCGACAGACCAAAAAAAAAAAAAAAAAGAGUGAGUCAUGUAUAUUAACAAAAAUGAAAGAAACAAGGAAUUCUCUCUCUCUUUUUUUUUGUUUUGAGACUGAAUCUUGCUCUGUCGCACAGGCUGUAGUGCAGAGGCACAAUCUCGGCUCACUGCAAACUCUACCUCCCGGGUUCAAGCGAUUCUCCUGCCUCAG